UACAGAGGUGGCAAGCGUUGUUCGGAAUUACUGGGCGUAAAGGGCGCGUAGGUGGCCAUCUAAGUCAGACGUGAAAUCCCCCGGCUUAACCUGGGAACUGCGUCUGAUACUGGACGGCUUGAGUAUGGGAGAGGAACGUAGAAUUCCAGGUGUAGCGGUGAAAUGCGUAGAUAUCGGGAGGAACACCGGUGGCGAAGGCGGCGACCUGGGUAGAUACUGACGCUGAGGCGCGAAAGCGUGGGGAGCAAACAGG
rnacentral:rRNA from 1 species